GGAAUAUUGGACAAUGGGCGCAAGCCUGAUCCAGCAACGCCGCGUGGAGGAAGAAGGUCUUCGGAUCGUAAACUCCUGUCAGGUGGGAAGAAAGACCGCCGGCAAAUAGUCGACGGUUCUGACUGUACCAUCAGAGGAAGCCCCGGCUAACUCCGUGCCAGCAGCCGCGGUAAUACGGAGGGGGCGAGCGUGAUUCGGAAUUAUUGGGCGUAAAGGGCGCGUAGGCGGCGAGGCAAGUCAAAGGUGAAAUCCCUCGGCUCAACCGAGGAACCGCCUUUGAAGCUACCUCGCUCGAGGCCGGGAGGGGGUAGCGGAAUUCCCAGUGUAGCGGUGAAAUGCGUAGAUACUGGGAGGAACACCGGUGGCGAAGGCGGCUACCUGGACCGGUUCCGACGCUGAUGCGCGAAAGCGUGGGGAGCAA
rnacentral:rRNA from 1 species